AGGGAAUCUUCCACAAUGGACGAAAGUCUGAUGGAGCAACGCCGCGUGAGUGAUGAAGGGUUUCGGCUCGUAAAACUCUGUUGUUGGAGAAGAACAGGUGUGAGAGUAACUGUUCACAUCUUGACGGUAUCCAACCAGAAAGCCACGGCUAACUACGUGCCAGCAGCCGCGGUAAUACGUAGGUGGCAAGCGUUGUCCGGAUUUAUUGGGCGUAAAGCGAGCGCAGGGCGGUUUCCU
rnacentral:rRNA from 1 species